CAGCAGCCACGGGAAUACGGAGGGUGCAAGCGUUAAUCGGAAUUACUGGGCGUAAAGCGCACGCAGGCGGUCUGUCAAGUCGGAUGUGAAAUCCCCGGGCUCAACCUGGGAACUGCAUUCGAAACUGGCAGGCUAGAGUCUUGUAGAGGGGGGUAGAAUUCCAGGUGUAGCGGUGAAAUGCGUAGAGAUCUGGAGGAAUACCGGUGGCGAAGGCGGCCCCCUGGACAAAGACUGACGCUCAGGUGCGAAAGCGUGGGGAGCAAACAGGAUUGGAUACCCGCGUAGUCCCUGUCUCUUAUAC
rnacentral:rRNA from 1 species